GCUGUUGGUUUAACAUUCUGAUCUCCAACCUUUUGGUUCACUUUGCUUAUUGUUUCUUGAUUGUAGAUGACUCCGAAAUAGACAGCAGUUUGGUGUACUCAGUUUGCAUCAUCUCCAAAACAAGAAAUGCUGGUCACUCUCAUGGUGCAGCAGGAAGGAAACACACAAGUUAUUUUGCAGUGAAAAAGAAAGCAGUUAAUUUUUAAUCAGCAAAGUUAUGUUUUUACCAGGCGGUUAAUGCUGACCGAGCGGAACAGCAACCACCCUGCAUCACAUACGCCACCUUGAGGCAUACAGAUACAGGAGGGGAUUAGGAAUCAGGUCAAGACUAAGAGGGAAACGUUUAUGUCAACCGUCCACAGACAUUGUGAGACAGCACAGAAGAAAGCCUGUGAAUCUUCACAAAUCGACCAACAGCAAAUCUAUCCUCCAGUAAAUAAGGAGGACAAGGCAUAGCAAUGUCAUGUUUCUGUAACUUGGUUAGACUUUGUCUCAAUUCACUCAGCAAGAUAUCAGUUCCAAAGAUGGACUUGUUUUGAGAAACCAUCUGAAUUAUGGUCUCUCCCAGAAUUCUCAGUGGGUCACUUUAUAUCGCUGUACACUUCCGGCCCUCACAUCAUCGCCGAUGCCACACGCUCAGUGACUUCCGCCACCCCUACUGGCAUGUCUG